rnacentral:rRNA from 1 species
CGUUACUCGCAGAAGAAGCACCGGCUAACUCCGUGCCAGCAGCCGCGGUAAUACGGAGGGUGCAAGCGUUAAUCGGAAUUACUGGGCGUAAAGCGCACGCAGGCGGUUGGAUAAGUUAGAUGUGAAAGCCCCGGGCUCAACCUGGGAAUUGCAUUUAAAACUGUCCAGCUAGAGUCUUGUAGAGGGGGGUAGAAUUCCAGGUGUAGCGGUGAAAUGCGUAGAGAUCUGGAGGAAUACCGGUGGCGAAGGCGGCCCCCUGGACAAAGACUGACGCUCAGGUGCGAAAGCGUGGGGAGCAACAGGAUUAGAUACCCUGGUAGUCCACGCCGUAAACGAUGUCGAUUUGGAGGCUGUGUCCUUGAGACGUGGCUUCCGGAGCUAACGCGUUAAAUCGACCGCCUGGGGAGUACGGCCGCAAGGUUAAAACUCAAAUGAAUUGACGGGGGCCCGCACAAGCGGUGGAGCAUGUGGUUUAAUUCGAUGCAACGCGAAGAACCUUACCUGGCCUUGACAUGUC